rnacentral:tRNA from 1 species
GGGAAUGUGGCUUAGUGGUAGAGUGCUUGCCUAGCAUGCAUGAAGCUUUGGGUUCAGUUCCUCAGUACCA